CAGUAGCCGCGGUAAUACAGAGGAUGCAAGCGUUAUCCGGAAUGAUUGGGCGUAAAGCGUCUGUAGGUGGCUUUUCAAGUCCGCCGUCAAAUCCCAGGGCUCAACCCUGGACAGGCGGUGGAAACUACCAAGCUGGAGUACGGUAGGGGCAGAGGGAAUCUCCGGUGUAGCGGUGAAAUGCGUAGAUAUUAGGAAGAACACCAGUGGCGAAGGCGACUUUCUGAACGAAAACUGACGCUGAGGCGCGAAAGCCAGGGGAGCGAACGGGAUUAGAUACCCGGGUAGUCCCUGUCUCUUAUAC
rnacentral:rRNA from 1 species